rnacentral:rRNA from 1 species
CUCCUAAAUGUCCUGGGCAACACGCGCACUACAAUGGCAGAGAUAACAAGCCUGGAUUUUAUUAUCCUACUUUGAAAAUUUGUGGGGAAACAUGUAACUCUGUCGUGCCUGGGAUCGAGGCUUGCAAUUAUUCCUCUUGAACAAGGAAUGCCUAGUAGGCGCAGGUCAUCAACCUGCACUGGAUACGUCCCUGCCAUUUGUACACACCGCCCGUCGUUGCUACCGAUUGGGUGACUGACAGAGUUUGUUGGACUGUUUACAGGAAGCCAAGCAAUGUUUAUCAUCUAGAGGAAGCAAAAGUCGUAACA